AACUGAUACUACCUGCGGGAACCUGCGGAAGGAUCAUUACAGAUUGUUAUUACAAUCUCUUCCUUAUUCUCCCCUAUGUGCACCCUAUUGCAUGAGCUAGUAGCAGUUGUAGUAACUCUUUAAGUAGUGUUACAAGCUGUGAAAGCUUAUGUGAUUUCACUUCGAAUACUAUACACUAUCUGUAUGGCACUAUUGUACAAUAUGAGUAUAACGGAAUAUACAACUUUCAGCAAUGGAUCU
rnacentral:misc_RNA from 1 species